UACGGAGGGGGCAAGCGUUAUUCGGAAUUAUUGGGCGUAAAGGGCGCGUAGGCGGCUAGAUGUGUCAAAGGUGAAAUCCCUCGGCUCAACUGAGGAACUGCCUUUGAAACUGUCUGGCUUGAGGCCGGGAGAGGGUAGCGGAAUUCCCAGUGUAGCGGUGAAAUGCGUAGAUAUCAGGAGGAACACCAGUGGUGUAGACGGCGUUCUGGACGAGUACUGACGCUGAGAUACGAAAGCGUGGGGAGCAAACAGG
rnacentral:rRNA from 1 species